UACGAAGGGGGCUAGCGUUGCUCGGAAUCACUGGGCGUAAAGCGCACGUAGGCGGCUUGUUAAGUCAGGGGUGAAAUCCUGGAGCUCAACUCCAGAACUGCCUUUGAUACUGGCGAGCUUGAGUCCGGGAGAGGUGAGUGGAACUGCGACUGUAGAGGUGAAAUUCGUAGAUAUUAGGAAGAACACCAGUGGCGAAGGCGGCUCACUGGCCCGGUACUGACGCUGAGGCGCGAAAGCGUGGGGAGCAAACAGG
rnacentral:rRNA from 1 species